GGACGGGUGAGUAAUGUCUGGGAAACUGCCUGAUGGAGGGGGAUAACUACUGGAAACGGUGGCUAAUACCGCAUAACGUCGCAAGACCAAAGAGGGGGACCUUCGGGCCUCUUGCCAUCAGAUGUGCCCAGAUGGGAUUAGCUUGUUGGUGAGGUAACGGCUCACCAAGGCGACGAUCCCUAGCUGGUCUGAGAGGAUGACCAGCCACACUGGAACUGAGACACGGUCCAGACUCCUACGGGAGGCAGCAGUGGGGAAUAUUGCACAAUGGGCGCAAGCCUGAUGCAGCCAUGCCGCGUGUAUGAAGAAGGCCUUCGGGUUGUAAAGUACUUUCAGCGGGGAGGAAGGUGUUGUGGUUAAUAACCGCAGCAAUUGACGUUACCCGCAGAAGAAGCACCGGCUAACUCCGUGCCAGCAGCCGCGGUAAUACGGAGGGUGCAAGCGUUAAUCGGAAUUACUGGGCGUAAAGCGCACGCAGGCGGUCUGUCAAGUCGGAUGUGAAAUCCCCGGGCUCAACCUGGGAACUGCAUUCGAAACUGGCAGGCUUGAGUCUUGUAGAGGGGGGUAGAAUUCCAGGUGUAGCGGUGAAAUGCGUAGAGAUCUGGAGGAAUACCGGUGGCGAAGGCGGCCCCCUGGACAAAGACUGACGCUCAGGUGCGAAAGCGUGGGGAGCAAACAGGAUUAGAUACCCUGGUAGUCCACGCCGUAAACGAUGUCUACUUGGAGGUUGUGCCCUUGAGGCGUGGCUUCCGGAGCUAACGCGUUAAGUAGACCGCCUGGGGAGUACGGCCGCAAGGUUAAAACUCAAAUGAAUUGACGGGGGCCCGCACAAGCGGUGGAGCAUGUGGUUUAAUUCGAUGCAACGCGAAGAACCUUACCUGGUCUUGACAUCCACAGAACUUUCCAGAGAUGGAUUGGUGCCUUCGGGAACUGUGAGACAGGUGCUGCAUGGCUGUCGUCAGCUCGUGUUGUGAAAUGUUGGGUUAAGUCCCGCAACGAGCGCAACCCUUAUCCUUUGUUGCCAGCGGUCCGGCCGGGAACUCAAAGGAGACUGCCAGUGAUAAACUGGAGGAAGGUGGGGAUGACGUCAAGUCAUCAUGGCCCUUACGACCAGGGCUACACACGUGCUACAAUGGCGCAUACAAAGAGAAGCGACCUCGCGAGAGUAAGCGGACCUCAUAAAGUGCGUCGUAGUCCGGAUUGGAGUCUGCAACUCGACUCCAUGAAGUCGGAAUCGCUAGUAAUCGUGGAUCAGAAUGCCACGGUGAAUACGUUCCCGGGCCUUGUACACACCGCCCGUCACACCAUGGGAGUGGGUUGCAAAAGAAGUAGGUAGCUUAACCUUCGGGGGGGCGCUUACCACUUUGUGAUUCAUGACUGGGGUGAAGUCGUAACAAGGUAACCGUAGGGGAACCUGCGGUUGGAUCACCUCCUUACCUUAAAGAAGC
rnacentral:rRNA from 3 species